rnacentral:rRNA from 1 species
UACGUAGGUGGCAAGCGUUGUCCGGAUUUAUUGGGUUUAAAGGGUGCGUAGGCGGCUUAUUAAGUCAGUGGUGAAAUACUCUAGCUCAACUAGAGGGGUGCCAUUGAUACUGAUGAACUUGAGUACAGAUGAGGUAGGCGGAAUUGACGGUGUAGCGGUGAAAUGCUUAGAUAUCGUCAAGAACACCUAUAGCGAAGGCAGCUUACUAGGCUGUAACUGACGCUGAGGCACGAAAGUGUGGGGAUCAAACAGG